rnacentral:lncRNA from 1 species
AUGUCAAAAGGGAAACUUCCAACUUCCUCUCCCUCUGGCUUCACAACUACAGAGACCACCUUCCGUACCCUGAGACUCAAGUUUUCCAUUCAACAACCUGCUUCUGUUAUCACAGGAAAAGAUGCUACUUUAAGUCAUCAUUCCUUGGAUCCAAGGUUGCUAUACAUUUCUUCUAGAAACUCAGAAAAAAAAAAGAAGAGAGUGGAGAACAUGAGGAGGCCUCAAAAAAAAGAAGAGUGGAGAACAUGAGGAGGCCUCAAGUUCAAUGUGAAAAUGUGUAUUUGCAGUCAGGAGGAUUCUCUAGCAGCCUUUGUCAUCCCAACUCUUCAUAACAAGCCACUCAUCCACGGUAACAAGUGUUUCUUUCAAAUGCUCUUAUUGAAAUUUGUGGUCCAACUGGUUCUUAAUAAAGGACAGCUUUAACUUCUUGGUGAAUCACUACCUUUGCCUUCUUUAAGUUGAUUGGUAUACCCUCUGACUUUCAGGUGUAUGUGUAGGUGUGAGGUAUAUGUGUAGGGGUGUGUGUGCGCAUUACAUUUUAAAUAAUGUAUGUAUAUACAGCAAAAGAUGCUAGGAGGAAAACUUUAUUAAAAUAAUCUCAGGACUGGAGAUAACUUUCUAAGGUUAAAAAUAAUAAAAGCGGCUGGGUGUGGUGGCUCAUGCCUGUAAUUCCAGCACUUUGGGAGGCGGGCAGAUCACCAGGUCAGGAGAUCAAGACUAUCCUAGCUAACAUGGUGAAACCCCAUCUCUACUAAAAAUACAAAAAACUAGCUGGGCAUGGUGGUACGUGCCUGUAAUCCCAGCUACUCAGGAGGCUGAGGCAGGAGAAUCGCUUGAACCCGGGAGGCGGAGGCUGCAGUGAGCUGAGAUCAUGCCAUUGCACUCCAGCCUGAGUGACAGGGCGAGACUCUGUCUCAAAAAAUAAUAAUAAUAAGAGAAAACAAAAGAUUGAAAACAUGGAAUGCAGCAAAUGUUUAAACUUCUAUGUAUCAAAAAGAUAUAUGUAGGUUUGAAAUAUAAGCAAUCAUUUGAGGGAAAUAGGAAAACAAACAUUAUGGAUUAAGCACUAAAUAAGCACAUACAAAUGAGUAAAAUUAAAAACAAUUCUAAAUUCUCAAUAGUAAUGGACAAAGAAUAUGAAUACACAAUGGACAUGUGAUUAAAUGAUCAACUUCACUAAUGAUCAAAUAACUGAUCAUUAAAACUGCAAAUAUAGGCCGGGUGCAGUGGCUCAUGCCUGUAAUCCCAGCACUUUGGGAGGCCGAGGCAGGCGGAUCACCUGAGGUCCGGAGUUCGAGAUCAGCCUGGCCAACAUGGUGAAACCUCAUCUCUACUAAAAAAUACAAAAAUUAGCCUGGUGUGGUGGCAGGUGACUUCAUCCCAGCUACUUGGGAGGCAGAGGCAGGAGAAUAGUUUGAACCUGGGAGGCAGAGGCUGCAGUGAGCAGAGAUAGAGCCAUUGCACUCAAACCUGGGGGAUAAGAGCAAGACUUCUCUACAAAAAAUACUGCAAAUAUAUAAUACUUUGCCUACCUACCAAUGUAACAAAGAUGUAUUAAAAUGUGAAUUCCCCAAGCCGAAGGUGUACUAAAACAGUUUCUUUCAUGUAUUGCUGGUGGUAGGAACAAAAACUAAUAUAUCCUUUCCAAAUAGCAAUUUCAUGAUGUGUUUAAAGAGGCUUUACAAUUGCAACAAAAACUGACAAAAAACUGACCCAGAAAAUCUGACAAAUGGGAACUAAUUAAACUAAAGAGCUUCUGCACAGCAAAACUAUCAACAGGGUAAACAAACAACCUACAGAAUGGGAGAAAAUAUUCUCAAACUAUGCAUCUGACAAAGGAUUAAUGUCCAGAAUCUAUAAGGAACUUGCACAAUUCAACAAGCAAAAAAACAAGCAACCCCAUUAAAAAAUGGGCAAAAGACAUGACCAGACAGUUCUCAAAAGAAGACAUACAAGCAGUCAAUAAACGUGAAAAAAUGCUCAGCAUCACUAAUGAUCAGAGAAAUGUGAAUCAAGACCACAGUGAGAUACCAUCUCACACAAGUCAAAAAGGCCAUUAUUAAAUGUCCAAAAAGUAACAGAUGCUGGUGAGGCUGGAGAAAGAAAAGGUUCAAUACGCUGCUGGGGGGAAUAUAAAUUAGUUCAGCCACUGUGGAAAGCAAUUUGGAGAUUUCUCAAAGAUCCUAAAACAGAACUACCAUUUUAUCCAGCAAUCCCAUUACUGGGUAUAUAUACAAAGAAAAAUAAAUAGUUCUGCCCAAAAGAUAUAUGUAUCACGAGUUUAUUGCACCACUAUUUGCAAUAGCAAAGACAUGGAAUCAGCCUAGGUGUCCAUCAACAGUGGACUGCAUAAAGAAAAUGUGAUACACAUCUACCAUGGAAUGCUAGGCAGCCAUCAAAAAGAACAAAAUUAUUGUCCUUUGCAGCAACAUGGAUGCAGCUAGAAGCCAUCAUCCUAAGUGAUUCAACGCAAGAACAGAAAACCAAAUACUGCAUAUUCUCACUCGUAAGUGGGAGCAUUGGGCACACAUGGAGGUAAAGAUGGAAAUAAUAGACCGUGGGGACUGCUAGAGGUGGGGGAGAGGGGAAGAGGGGAAGGCCUGAAAAGCUACCUAUUCAGUAUUAUGCUCCCUACUGGGUGACAGGAUCAUUCACAUCCCCAAACCUCAGCAUCAUGCAAUAUACUCAUGUUAACAAACCUGUACAUGUACCUCCUAAAUCUAAAAUAAAAAUUUGUGAUAUUUAUUUUAGAUUCAUAGGGGGUACAUGUGCAGGUUUGUUAUGUGGGUAUAUUGUUUGACACUUGAAAUUAUUUAAAAAGGGGAUUUAAAAUGUUCUACUUUCUGAUCCUGUAAUUUCAGGGGUUUUGUUGUUGUUGUUGUUGUUGUUUCUUUUGUUUUUUUGUUUUGUUUUGUUUUGCUUUGUUUUGUUUUUGAGACAGAGUCUUGCUCUGUCACCCAGGCUGGAGUACAGCGGCACCAUCUCGGCUCACUGCAACCGCUGCCUCCCAGGUUCAAGCGGUUCUCCUGCCUCUGCCUCCUGAGUAGCUGGGACUACAGGUGCACGCCACCACACCAAGCUAAUUUUUGUGUUUUUAGCAGAGACAGGGUUUCACCAUUUGGCCAGGCUGGUCUCAAACUCCUGACCUCAUGAUCUGCCCGCCUUGGCCUCCCAAAGUGCUGGGAUUACAGGCAUGAGCCACUGUACCCAGCCAAUGUAGCAUUUUUAUGCAAGUGAAAAGUUUGACAUUAACUUAACAUCUAACACUUGGGGUCUGUUUAGACAAAUUUCAUAAGUAAAACACUAACUAGUUAGCCAUUUGAACUGAU